rnacentral:rRNA from 1 species
UACGUAGGGUGCAAGCGUUGUUCGGAAUCACUGGGCGUAAAGAGAGCGUAGGCGGGAUCGUAAGUUAGAAGUUUAAUACAUGGGCUUAACCCGUGGUCGGCUUUUAAUACUGCGGUUCUUGAGUGUGGGAGAGGGCGAUGGAAUUCCAGGUGUAGCGGUGGAAUGCGUAGAUAUCUGGAAGAACACCAGUAGCGAAGGCGGUCGCCUGGCCUAACACUGACGCUGAGGCUCGAAAGCUAGGGGAGCAAACAGG